rnacentral:rRNA from 1 species
AAAUUGAAGAGUUUGAUCAUGGCUCAGAUUGAACGCUGGCGGCAGGCCUAACACAUGCAAGUCGAACGGUAACAGAAAGCAGCUUGCUGCUUUGCUGACGAGUGGCGGACGGGUGAGUAAUGUCUGGGAAACUGCCUGAUGGAGGGGGAUAACUACUGGAAACGGUGGCUAAUACCGCAUAACGUCGCAAGACCAAAGAGGGGGACCUUCGGGCCUCU